rnacentral:rRNA from 1 species
CGCCUCUUGCCAACACACAAACAUAAGAGGUCCAGCCUGCCCAGUGACAAAUUGUUCAACGGCCGCGGUAUUCUGACCGUGCAAAGGUAGCGUAAUCACUUGUCUUUUAAAUAAAGACUGGUAUGAAAGGCACCACGAAGAUUCAACUGUCUCUCUUAUCUAGUCAGUGAAACUGAUCUCCCCGUGCAGAAGCGGGGAUGCACACACAAGACGAGAAGACCCCAUGGAGCUUAAAACACAAGCAACUGCUAUCCAAUAACCAUCGAAAGACUAAAUCUACAAUCAAGCAGAAAUGACCCAAUGUUUUCGGUUGGGGCGACCACGGAGAAUAAAACAUCCUCCGCGAGAUGGAGGUUACACCCUGAAACGAACGACAGUUCUAAACAUCAGAACAUCUGACCUUCUUGAUCCAGUCUAACUGAUCAACGAACCAAGUUACCCUGGGGAUAACAGCGCAAUCUACUUAAAAAGUUCAUAUCGACAAGUAGGUUUACGACCUCGAUGUUGGAUCAGGGCACCCAAGUUGGUGCAGCCGCUACUAACGGUUCGUUUGUUCAACGAUUAAAGCCCUACGUGAUCUGAGUUCAGACCGGAGCAAUCCAGGUCAGUUUCUAUCUGUGAAGGACCCUUCCUAGUACGAAAGGACCGAAAGAGUGAGGCCAAUACAAAAGCAUGCCUCCACCUAACCUCAGUGACACCAACUAAACUGACACUAAACCUACAAACCCUAACCAAGACAGGGU